UACGUAGGGGGCGAGCGUUGUCCGAAGUUACUGGGCGUAAAGCGCGCGUAGGCGGUCAUUUAAGUCUGAGGUGAAAGGUUCAGCGCUCAACGUGAACAGUGCCUUGGAUACUGGGUGACUUGAGUUCGGGAGGGGGCAGUGGAAUUCCAGGUGUAGCGGUGAAAUGCGUAGAUAUCAGGAGGAACACCGGUGGCGAAGGCGGGUCUCUGGGCCGAUACUGACGCUGAGGAGCGAAAGCGUGGGGAGCGAACAGG
rnacentral:rRNA from 1 species